rnacentral:rRNA from 1 species
AUUGAACGCUGGCGGCAUGCUUUACACAUGCAAGUCGAACGGUAACAGGGAGCUUGCUCCGCUGACGAGUGGCGAACGGGUGAGUAAUGCGUCGGAACGUGCCGAGUAGUGGGGGAUAACGCAGCGAAAGUUGUGCUAAUACCGCAUACGUACUGAGGUAGAAAGUGGGGGACCUUCGGGCCUCACGCUAUUCGAGCGGCCGACGUCUGAUUAGCUAGUAGGUGAGGUAAAGGCUCACCUAGGCGACGAUCAGUAGCGGGUCUGAGAGGAUGAUCCGCCACACUGGGACUGAGACACGGCCCAGACUCCUGCGGGAGGCAGCAGUGGGGAAUUUUGGACAAUGGGCGAAAGCCUGAUCCAGCCGUGCCGCGUGUCUGAAGAAGGCCCUCGGGUUGUAAAGGACUUUCGUCGGGGAGGAAAUCCCCAGCGCUAAUACCGCUGGGGGAUGACAGUACCUGAAGAAUAAGCACCGGCUAACUACGUGCCAGCCGCCGCGGUAA